AGUGCGAAUGCUGACAUAAGUAACGAUAAAGCGGGUGAAAAGCCCGCUCGCCGGAAGACCAAGGGUUCCUGUCCAACGUUAAUCGGGGCAGGGUGAGUCGACCCCUAAGGCGAGGCCGAAAGGCGUAGUCGAUGGGAAACAGGUUAAUAUUCCUGUACUUGGUGUUACUGCGAAGGGGGGACGGAGAAGGCUAUGUUGGCCGGGCGACGGUUGUCCCGGUUUAAGCGUGUAGGCUGGUUUUCCAGGCAAAUCCGGAAAAUCAAGGCUGAGGCGUGAUGACGAGGCACUACGGUGCUGAAGCAACAAAUGCCCUGCUUCCAGGAAAAGCCUCUAAGCAUCAGGUAACAUCAAAUCGUACCCCAAACCGACACAGGUGGUCAGGUAGAGAAUACCAAGGCGCUUGAGAGAACUCGGGUGAAGGAACUAGGCAAAAUGGUGCCGUAACUUCGGGAGAAGGCACGCUGAUAUGUAGGUGAAGUCCCUCGCGGAUGGAGCUGAAAUCAGUCGAAGAUACCAGCUGGCUGCAACUGUUUAUUAAAAACACAGCACUGUGCAAACACGAAAGUGGACGUAUACGGUGUGACGCCUGCCCGGUGCCGGAAGGUUAAUUGAUGGGGUCAGCGCAAGCGAAGCUCUUGAUCGAAGCCCCGGUAAACGGCGGCCGUAACUAUAACGGUCCUAAGGUAGCGAAAUUCCUUGUCGGGUAAGUUCCGACCUGCACGAAUGGCGUAAUGAUGGCCAGGCUGUCUCCACCCGAGACUCAGUGAAAUUGAACUCGCUGUGAAGAUGCAGUGUACCCGCGGCAAGACGGAAAGACCCCGUGAACCUUUACUAUAGCUUGACACUGAACAUUGAGCCUUGAUGUGUAGGAUAGGUGGGAGGCUUUGAAGUGUGGACGCCAGUCUGCAUGGAGCCGACCUUGAAAUACCACCCUUUAAUGUUUGAUGUUCUAACGUGGACCCGUGAUCCGGGUUGCGGACAGUGUCUGGUGGGUAGUUUGACUGGGGCGGUCUCCUCCUAAAGAGUAACGGAGGAGCACGAAGGUUGGCUAAUCCUGGUCGGACAUCAGGAGGUUAGUGCAAUGGCAUAAGCCAGCUUGACUGCGAGCGUGACGGCGCGAGCAGGUGCGAAAGCAGGUCAUAGUGAUCCGGUGGUUCUGAAUGGAAGGGCCAUCGCUCAACGGAUAAAAGGUACUCCGGGGAUAACAGGCUGAUACCGCCCAAGAGUUCAUAUCGACGGCGGUGUUUGGCACCUCGAUGUCGGCUCAUCACAUCCUGGGGCUGAAGUAGGUCCCAAGGGUAUGGCUGUUCGCCAUUUAAAGUGGUACGCGAGCUGGGUUUAGAACGUCGUGAGACAGUUCGGUCCCUAUCUGCCGUGGGCGCUGGAGAACUGAGGGGGGCUGCUCCUAGUACGAGAGGACCGGAGUGGACGCAUCACUGGUGUUCGGGUUGUCAUGCCAAUGGCACUGCCCGGUAGCUAAAUGCGGAAGAGAUAAGUGCUGAAAGCAUCUAAGCACGAAACUUGCCCCGAGAUGAGUUCUCCCUGACCCUUUAAGGGUCCUGAAGGAACGUUGAAGACGACGACGUUGAUAGGCCGGGUGUGUAAGCGCAGCGAUGCGUUGAGCUAACCGGUACUAAUGAACCGUGAGGCUUAACCUU
rnacentral:rRNA from 1 species